ACAAUUAGCUCCCAUGAUGUUCUAUCAAAGGAGUAAUCCGCUUUGAGAUGGGCCCGCGGCGCAUUAGCUAGUUGGUGAGGUAACGGCUCACCAAGGCAACGAUGCGUAGCCGACCUGAGAGGGUGAUCGGCCACAUUGGAACUGAGACACGGUCCAGACUCCUACGGGAGGCAGCAGUGGGGAAUAUUGCACAAUGGGGGAAACCCUGAUGCAGCAACGCCGCGUGAGUGAUGAAGGUCUUCGGAUUGUAAAGCUCUGUCUUUUGGGACGAUAAUGACGGUACCAAAGGAGGAAGCCACGGCUAACUACGUGCCAGCAGCCGCGGUAAUACGUAGGUGGCAAGCGUUGUCCGGAUUUACUGGGCGUAAAGGGUGCGUAGGCGGAUGUUUAAGUGAGAUGUGAAAUACCCGGGCUUAACUUGGGUACUGCAUUUCAAACUGGAUAUCUAGAGUGCAGGAGAGGAGAAUGGAAUUCCUAGUGUAGCGGUGAAAUGCGUAGAGUUAGGGAAGAAA
rnacentral:rRNA from 1 species